rnacentral:lncRNA from 1 species
CAGCAAUGAAAAUAUUUCUUAAUAUGGUUAUCCAAUAUAUGUUUCGCAGCUACCUUAGAAUAGCUAGGUGAAAACUCUUCUUUCUCCUAUGUGUGGUGGUUAAUAUUGCGAUCAGAGGUAAUGAAUAUAGGGCAGGUUCAGAUAAAUAUACUGGUAUUACAGCUAAAUCCCCCCUCCUCCUCUCCCAACACAGACAUCACGUGUGCACACACACACACAAAGCCCGAGAAAUAAAAGAAAUAAAAGCUUUUGUAUGAUGGCAUAUUUGUUUAGAACAUGGUGAUGACGACAAGUGAUACAUGUACCUUAAGUAGUGAUCCUUCUUCUGAUCCAUAUGCAGCUUCAUGGUUCUAGAAAGAAACACUGCAAAAAUGGCAAAACUAUCUAUCAUCAACAUAUAUACUCCAGCUAACUGAUCGUAAAUGUUGUUAAGUUUCAAAAAAAUAAAAUUUAUAAGCAGUUUCAGGAAAUUAAGCCUACCACAUUGCUGUAUGUGGUAGUAACAAUACAAUUUAUAAUUUGUUUUCCAGGUAAGAGAAGCUUAGUUGUAUCUUAAUAUUAUCCUUUUGAAGAAAAGGACAGAACUGCAUGGCUAUCAUUUUCAUGGACAAACUAACAAUGUAAUUCUGGAAUGGUGAAGACAUUGUUUGCCUUAACUCGAAAGGGUAAUCUUCCAAUCAAUAAUGGCAGAAAGCAUAUGAAGGUGCAGCUAUUCGAAAAAACUAUGUGUUUAAUUAGUUUUAACUGGAGUCCAGGAGUAAUUUAGGAGCACGAGAUAUAUAAAGGCCAGGCAAAGAUAAAAGUUUUUUGAAGUAUCAAAGGUCUUGGAGUCCUUUUUGUUUUCAAGAGAGAAUAUAAUACCGAAUAAGACAAUAAGAGCAUAGAUAUUUCUUUUCAAUGAAGCACUUGGCACCACAGAUACGAGGAUAGAUAUGUGUUCUCAAUGAACCGUUAGGCACGACAUCUAGGUCGACAACCCCAGAGGAACAUCAUUACCACAUCACAUAGUCAAUAGCAUUUGAUGUUUAUUUAUAGGUUUGGCAAAUUAAGUCUCCAAGAGAUAAAAAAUUCAUCAACGUAAUGGAAUGUAGGCUAGGGCAAGAUAUUAAGGACAAAGCAAAAUUCCAGGUGGUUUAUGUGUAUAAGAGUUUAAACGUUUAUUGCAUUCAAAAAUUAAAAGAAGUCAGUAUAUAUUCAGUUAUGAUACACAUUCACAAAUGUGGACACGAUGCUAUGUGAAGGCACUGUUAGAAGUUAGAACAUCAUAGAAGUUAGAACAUCAUAGUAAAAAUAAUGUAACUUUGAAUACAAACAAACUGGGACCUUCUCUAUAAGAUAUGGUUUAUUACAUAAAGACCCGUAAUAUAUCAGAUACCUAGUUCCAUUAUAGUUCUCUAAUACAGUGAUCCUAUCAUACUACAUUAAAUUUUCACUUUCCUCGACCGUCGCUACUACUCCUAUCCUUGAUUCAGUGAUUCACAACUCAUACAAUAGGCUAUGAGAAUACAAACAGAAUCCACCUAUGGAACUGCUUCAGCAAUCGUGAAGACCACGGUUUUCGGUCAAGGUGGAUGAGUAAACAUAAAAUUUAUCUCCUCUGUAUUGGUAUUUCAUAUUUGUCUGGCUUCCUUGGCAACCUAGAUAAGUUAAAUCAAUAAUCACUAUCCUCAAUUGUGGACCCAAACAUGAUGCCCAAUGAAUUGCUUCUUCUGAAAAUACUAUUGUCACCUCAUAAUCUUUAUUGCUACCUACCAUCUUCAUUACCCUCACAAUAGCUACUAGAUCAAAAGCAACACGAAAUUAUAACCUCCACAAACUCAUAAAGCUGCAAGAGGUACAUUUCCUCCUCUUCCUAGGGAUCUCAAGUCUAUCUUGACUAGCUUUUGGAAUCAUCUCCGGUACUUCAGUCAGAGCCUCACGUUGUCAUGUUCUGGCAGAUAGUCAUGCAGCCUAGGCUAGUGCAUCCUGCUGUGAAGAACAUGCUCCUAUUGUUCUAACUGAGCAAGCUCAGUCUCAAAGAAGCUUUGAUGCCUGAUUCCUCAUAUGACUCGUCAUUCAACUGCAGAAUGAUAUUUCAUAAUUAUUCUAGUUGUGGACAGAAGAAGAAAAUCAAAUUAACAAGGAAAUUUGAACUUAAGAAGUUCAACUAACCUGUUGUGUUUGUCGCUCGUCCUCACAGUGAGUGGUAAUAAGUCAAGCCAUCCCAAAAUGGCUAUAACUGCAUGAUGAAAAGGGAACUAAUUAGAUAUUAGUACUUAAAUCUCCAAUAUUUUAUUGUAAAUGAUUUUUACCACCUUCAAAAGUUGUAAGUUGAUUACAGUUCCGUGAUACCAAAAUAUCACCACUCUCUCCUAUUCCUGAAUCGACUCAUGGAAAUUUUUUCACCAUGUUGAUGCCUUUCAUACAAGCAGCUGGUUUGAUCUCCUAAUCAUCCAGAAGACUAAUCUACUACUAUAUAGUUGUUGCCAAUUUUUUGUUGAACAUGAAGAAGCUUUUGUGUGAAGGUGUUAAAGGAAGGACCAACGUUGAAUUUGGAUUAAUAUCGGGAUUAGAAGUUUGUAAACAUGAUUAUUCUAGGGGUUUAUCACACAAAAAAAAACAUGAUUCUAGGGCUGUACGUGAUUUUAUUAACUUCACAACAAAAUACAUUAUAUGUUAGGUAACUACCAUUAAAAUAGUAAUAUAACUUCAAACAAAUACUGGCUCUCAUUGAGUUAAAGAUGUUAACAAACAACAAUACGAUUCAAGACCCUUUUAGUGAAGUAAUCACAUUUUCAACAAUGUGAAACUGCAUAUAUGGAGAGCAAGUCAGCAAACUAAUUAAGGGUCCAAACGUAGUCACCAAACAAUUUUUAAACACUAGCAAUAUUUUGAAGAUUGUCGCUCAAAAAUAUAUAAGAAUUCAAUGAUUACUGCAAUUUAUAACAACUCAUGUAAGAUUGAGCUCGAUAAUAAGAAAGUGAUGUGAAAGUCUUACCUGUUCCAAGUGAUCUGUGUCCAGCUUAUUACUCAGCAUUGUGAAACAAACUUAAUGUUCAUGUUGCAGAUUGAAUCAAGGCAAGCACUCUUGAAUAGAUUCUUUGCAAGAGUUGGUGCUACCACCUAACAAAAAAAAAAUGUCUUCAUUAUUAGAAAAUCUCCUGAGUAAGAAAAAGCAGGAAAUAUUGAUUCUGCAAACUUGAGAUGAGACAUAAAAGAAAUCAUUUCAGUACACAAAAGAGAACCUUUUUCAUGCAUACUAGAGAAAGAGCAGGUGGUAUAUGUUGUGAUCCAUCAUACGCUUUCAUUUCGAGAAAUAAUUGUACAUAAUUUCAUUCAAAUCAUUAUACUAAAUAAGUUGUGCAAGUAUAUUACCCUUAGGGGAGGACGCAAGAAAUUAUCCCUUUCUUUUUUGGAAUGCCUUAGGAAAUAUGGAAGUGUAUAUAAGAUGAAUGAAUCCAAGAUGAUAUUAAAACCUACAGUGACAGGAUUUCUACCUGCUGUUUUGAUGAUUAAAGCUUUAUGUUCUAGCAUUCAACAACCAUCUGAAGGUCGGCAGAACUUGGUCAACCACUCUACUGCUAUUUCUAAUUCUCUGAAGACUUGCUUGAAGUUGAUAUCUUCAAAUGAAAAACUGUAUUAACAAUGGGUUCUGUUUUCCUACUAGCUCUGAAUGAUCCUUUUAGCUGGACAAUAGAUUGUUCAGAUUCUACUGCAGCCUUGAAUAUUCCGAUCAUAGUUCAAUUUGGUUAAUACUUAAUAGUAACUCCUAGGUCAGUUUAGUUAAUAGUCACUUUAGGUUAGGGUCUGCCUUAGCCACUACAACAGCAAAAACAAAAUCCAAUGGAUCCACUGUGGCACUGUGACAAACACAAACAUGCCAUCACACUGUAUAAUAAUGCAUAAACAACUGCCUCCACCAACAAACAUCAUGACUCCGACCUGAGAGUUUAAUUACUUAUGUUGAGGGGCCGAAAGGGGAGAACCUAUCCCUCUCCUUCACUACAAAUCAUCAAAUUAGUAGUACAGGAAAUGGAAGAAGGUUUAUCUAGUUUAGAAAUACAAAGGAUGGUAUGGGGCGCCGCUCAGACUUGAAAAGGCAAAGAGGAAGCAUGACAAUUUAAAAUUCCAUAUUAACUUUUUGUUUCCUUGUAAACCAAUAUGUGGUUCUCUACCCUCCGUGCCUACCUAAAUGUUUCUCUAUGGUCAAUUAAAGUGAACUGUAAGUUACUUCUCUAAUUUUUUUGACGCAAGUGUCUUUAGAGAAUUAAUACAAUGGUAUCAUCACCCCCAUCCCCACCCCCACCACCAACACACACAUCUCCUCAAUAAAAUUAUAAAAGAACUAUGAAACUGCUCUCUGAUUCCCAGUUUGCUUAAGGUAUACAAUCCAAGGGAAAAUCUCGAUCUUAUUUAGACUUAAACAUUGUCAUCGGUUGAGGACUCGAGUCAUUGAUAUCGAUAAAUUUUAUCUUAGCAUUCAUCUUGAAUCAAAAAAUCAUGGCAGUCUUCAAACCAAUUAGUCCUUUAGUCCAACCUAGAGUAAUUUAUCCUUAAUAACUUAACUAGGGUUUUCCCCUACUGUUCAUGGAACCAGCUAAGCCAAUGUUCUUGUGUUUAGGGGCCAAAAUCAACCUAUCAUCCAAGCUUAAAAUCUCCGUUCUAUAUCUCCUUCUUCGUCCUUUUCUUACUCUCUCCCUCUCAUCCUUUCUCCUCUGUCUUUUAUCUCCCUCUCAAUUACUCACUUCAAAACAACCCCAUCUUUACUUUCCACAGCAGUUUGCAGUACACUAGUAGGAAACACACAUUUGAGAGAUCAUUAGCCUCUCGAACACCCAAAUGUGGAUAAGUAUGAGCUACCUAAAAGUUAAAAACUCUUGUUCAUGAUAGAAUUAAGAUGUUUAGUGAGAACCUCACUCCAGAUGCCAAAACCAUUACACUGUUGUUUAACAAUAUAAACAACUUCAUUGCAUAAAGAAAACCCAUUACAGUUUGCAUGUUGAAAUGUAAUCUUAAGACCUAAGUCAAACCAAAAGAACAGAUUAAUAAACAAUAAAAUGUUUUACCUGAAGCAGAGCAUCAGUUCUCAAAACAGGUAAACAAAGCAGUUGUUGAUAGCUUUCAAACUCAGAUGUGUUUAUAAUUGUAGAUCCCAUUUAUGAGUUUUAAGUUUUGAAUAAAUAUUUGAUUAUAGAAUAAUGCAGAUUUCCCCCUAAAAGCUGACAAUAUUCCUUUCACCCUAAAGGUUUUGCUGAUGUGUUGUACAAAGAAGGCUUAUAUCUGUUUGUGUGGUGUUGGGAUCACUGAUCAGUAUGUCUUUAAAGAUUCUUUUGGAAAACUGUUCCUUCAUGUGCACAGAAAUUUCAAAUGUAAUGAUAGGAGUUGUGUAAAGGCUUCUCAUCAGGUGUCUCAGAUCCUUUUAAAACAAGAUCCUACUAUCACUAGGGUAUAAUUAAGUAUAAACUAGUGUGUUCAAAACAAAUGGAUCAUAAAUUCAUAAUUGAUUCUACAUGAAUCUAUGUGGCCUGCAAUAUGACUUUUCACAUCAUUGUGAAUAAUUAUCAACAGAGAGAAUGACAAGCUUGCAGCCAUAUUACAGUUACAGGCCAUAUUACACAGACUAACUUGUGAUAUUAGUAGCUUCUAAUUUGAAGAAUAUAUAAUUAGCUUCUAAUCCAUACAGUAUAUAUUUUGUGUACUCAAAAUAACAUGACUAAGGUCAGCAGUGUUUUGCCUGAAAGGAUACCCUAAGACUGCAGUUUUCUUGAUGCUCUGCUUGAUAACAUACUUCUAGAUACAGGUCUUUAUGCAUCCUAUCUAUUGCUUCUUGCCACAUAGGAUAAUUUUGGUCGAGAUGGUUGAAUUGUUAGCAUGGAUGAUUUAGAAAAUAUGAUUGGAGGGUAUGUAGGGUUAGGUUCCAUUUAUAUAUUUGGUGGAAUUUGGCCUAUCUUGAUCAAAUCCUUUGCAUGGGCUCAGCGAGCAUUUAAUUUGUAUAGUUUGGAGAGGCUUACUUGUCAUAAAGUUAACAGCUUUGCUGCCCAGCUGAUCUAGUAACAUGGUGAGACGCCGAGCUGAUUGGUCAGUGUAAGGAUCCAUCAUCCCCAACUACUGGUUGGAAAUUGAUCAUUCUAAGUAAAUUCCCUCUAUCACUUAUGGGAGUUCCCUAACUGACUAACUCUUUACCCAAGAUUUACCCAAUUGGUGAAUGAGCCUGUGGCUCAAUGGUAGCACCCUUCUCACAAUGUGGAGAGGUUGUGGGUUCGAAACACGUCAACAGCUGAUUGUUGAUAUAGUUUCCACACGUAAUUUAAAGGGGUAGGGGCUUGCCAAUAAAAAAAAAAAAAAAAAAAAAAAAGAUUUACCCAACUUGUACUAGGUGUUUUUCCAGCAUACCCUCAUGAGCAGAGAUACAUAUGAGGUAUCAUAGCUGGCUGCUGGCCUAUGCCAAAUAGUGAGCUGAUCCUAUUAUGAUUCUUAACAAUACUGUGUGUCCGAUAUAAGCGAACUUUGGACAAUUCAUUGUUAAACUUUGUCGACCCUAGUGAAGUCCUUUAACAUUAAAGAACGCACACUAGACGAGUGAGCGGGAAUAUAUAUGUACUGGAUUUAUUACGCUAAAAUUUCCUUUUCAACCAAACACACCCGUUUUUAUGGGUUUCAUUUUUGUAGUCUAAAAUCAAGAGCAUGUAGCCAGGUUUUACAAUAGCAAGGGACAAAUUCAUUGGUUGAGAAUAGAGCACGAUUUUUUAUCAGACAAAUAAUUACUUUCGCAUUCCAAAUAUAGAGACCAGCAUAAAAUACAAAUGAACAAUGAGAAGCUUUAUAUAGGCCGGAAAUCAGUGGAGCAAACUAAAAAUGACUAAUACAGGUAAAUGACAUACCAUGGUCAUCCAUCCAUGUACUGGCAGCAAUCUGCCUGAAAACCAGAAAUAUCAAUCAGUUCACAUAAGGCCUAAAUUACAGAACUUCAGAGGGCUGUGAUGAACUUAAUUUCAUAUCAUAUCGAAGUUUAUCAGUAGUAAAUAAUAUUAAAACUAUAUAAGAGCUUAAAUGAAUGCUCCAUAAAGCAUGUACUGACAAUUUAAAGAAAACCUCAAUUCAGGAAGGCGGAAGCCCUAGAAGAAAAUCUCUACAGGAUUAAAGCUCUUUCUGAUUAUUGAAAUUUGAAAUACCAAAACGAUUCAUCCAAAUUGAUGUUCACAUAUUUGUAAGUUGACAAGAGCCAACAGUUCUCUGUCUGAUACUGCAAUUUCCCUGAUGGGGGACUUUGAAUAGCAAAUCUUAAGGCUCUAAAAAGAUCAUUGAUCCAGCUACAUGUGAAGCCUAUUCGAUUGACCUAGAUGGAUCUAACGCACCAAUGGAUUAGUCCAGUGUCUUUUUUACUAGCAUCAGUAGUGAUGGAUUAUAAUGCAGCUGGUUUUAGGCCAAAUCAUUACUUGACGAGAUGAUCGAUCAUUCAAAUUAAUGUCACCUCAGUCUCACUAGUCACCCGGAAUGGCUUACACUUCCUACCUAAUCAUCGUAUAUUUUACUGAAUUCUAAAUUUCUAAAUUAGACAUAGCUUGUUAGACUAAACCUUAUAUCAUAUUAUUCCAACAAUUUGUGAUUCUUCAAUAUUAACAAAUUAAAUUUCCCCUAUGAAUGUUAAUAUUUAAAACAUACAAGGAAAACCUGCAAUCCUUGAGAAAAGUAGAAUUGAUUCUGCUCUUAAUCCAUGGCAAUCUGUAAUGUUACUGUCCAACUCUGAGGGUCAGCCUUGUAGAUGUAGGCAUAGUACAUACAGUGAACCUUGUUCAACCAAUCUUAAGACCUUUAUUCUUUAUCCAGUACCUUUUUCAUCUCAAGUUUUUCAGAAGUUGAACCACAUUAAUCAGCAUCAACUAAUAGGCAAAGCCAUAUUUCCCCAUGGCAGAAUCUAACUAAGCUUGUGCAAUUCAUCAAUGACUGUUAAGUCACACUGUGAGAUUGAUGAAUGAUGAAACCAGAAAGAUAUAUCUGAUGACCCCCCAUGAAAAGGAGCAGAUAAGAUAUGUUUGGUGUAUCUAUGACUUUAUAAAAUAACAAAUGCAUGUGUGUUGCCUAGAGGAAUGACUUCUAAAAAAUGUAGACAGGCUUUUUUCCACAUUCUGAUGGGUAAAAAUCCCCACAUAUAUAUAUAUAUAUAACUAGGAAAAAAACUUUAGAGAAACUAACUGUUAUCCUAAUUAAAGUUAUUUGCACUCAACAAUCCAUUGGACAAUCCAUGCUUCCUAAUUAUUUGCUGGAAGAUAAUAGCUUUUUGCAUGUUCUACCCUUUUGUACAACUGUUGAGGCACAUUGUGAGAUGGUAUCAACAAGAAAAGGUGAAGAUUUUCAAUGAAUUAUUGUGUGAAUGUCAACUGUAUGUAUCAUUAAAAUUAGGAUUACCAACAAGGCAACAAGAUGGACAACAAUGACAUAAAAGGUUUUUGCUUUCUUGUUUUCUAAAACAGUUUCGCAAAUAAUCCUUGAACAUCAUAUGCUAUCUAAUUAGUUCCCCAGUUCCCACAUAGUAUAAAAAUUGUGACAUUUUAUUAUACAAAUUAGCUUAAUUAUUGUUGCAAAUAUGAUUUCAAGAAAAUAAUAACAAAAAGCAUGUGUUUAUUUUUAUGUUUUUUUGAAGGAAAUCUGGAAAUAGAAAACACAACCUUUUUUUAUGUACAAAUCUAUAAUCUUAGACAAAAAAAGAAAAAAAAAAAAAUCUAGUUAACAGAUAGAUUUAUAAGUUAAAAGUUUCACUUACUUGCCAUGUGAAAGACUUCUGUGCUUCCUUUUUAUCAUAAUGUUUAGAAGCAAAAGAUUUAUAGUUUGAAACUCAUCAAAGGAAAAGGAAGAAGAAGAAGAAGAAGAAGGUGGUUAGAGAUGUGAUGUCCAAAAAACAAAGAAAUAGUGAAGAAGAAGAAGAAGAAGGAAAACGUCAAGAUGAAAGAUCAAAUGAUGGAUGGAAAACAACAUCAUACAUUGAAUAUGGGAAUGGAUGGAAUGAAGAGUUAUUAUUAUUGAGUGAAGCGACAAACCCGGUAAAAGAUAGCCUAGUAACGACAAACAACUACAAAGCUAGUAAUCAUGAUGAUGAUGAUGUGAUGUGAAUGUGAUCUACUAAUACUACUACAACUUUGACUUGCAGAUCUGGUUUUCCAACUUUUUUUUUCUUGAUUGUGUUUCAUACUCCAGAUCGAAGAGAACUCUUUCUCUCUCUCUCUCAUUGGCUCACAACGAGUUCAACUUAGAAUGGAAUGUUUCAUAGUCUGAUAAUCUCAUUCCAUUGGCUAUUAAUGCUGUUUUAGGGCAUAAAAUUCAGCUAUGUUUUGGUUGGUUUUGUCCUAUUAUUAUGAUUAUGAUCAUCUUCAAUUUUU